GAUGUUGUCAAGAUUAUAACAGGGGUUCCCAACCUUUUUUGUCCCGUUCAUCCCGACAACUUUAAUAGCACAUAACAAUGUUAUUUCACUAAUUUAUGAACUAAUGAUGAUCAGUCAGUCAAUCAGAAAAAAUAUGUACAAAUCCAGAAUCA